rnacentral:misc_RNA from 1 species
CACGCAAAGUCACAGCGCGUUCAGACGCCGCAAGAAAACGUUGUAAAACUGAAGUUCUAGUGAAAAACUGGUCGUCGACAUCGUUCGUAGUUAGCUUUCUUGACGCCUGAGCUCUACGUUUACAUUAAUUUGUAGCGCCGUUCACUGAUCUACAGGAUUCAUGAUGAACAAGUUGGUCUACUGUAACAACUGUUUUGCGCAGCCAUCGCGAACGCUAAUGUUUUAUGUCACAACAUGCGCCCAUGUGUACUGCCAUACUUGUAAGGAAGAUUGCACUCGGAACUCGUGCAAGAUGUGCGGUGCGACAUGCACGACUGCUGCCUUGUCUCAAACCAUGAGUCAGGAUGUUCGGGAACUUUUCAAGGACCCUAAACACAUUUUACAAAGAGCAAUGAUGAUCAGUGAAUUCCAAGUGUCUCAACUCGUCAGGCUAGCGACGUGCCUGAGACAAGAGGUGAGCACGCUGAAAGCGAGCCACAAAAAGGCCACCGAGCUGGGGAUCAAGUACAAGCAGCAAGCCGAGAGUCUGCGCAAGGAGAACGCCGCCCUCAAGAGCGAGCUGAACAAGCUGAGAGACCAGCAAAGCACUGGCAUCGACAUCAGCCAGUCCCCAACUUUCCUGACUCGGCCUGACUACCCCGCCCCGCCAGCUUUUGAGCAGCCGACCGCCUCGCAAUCGAGCAACGAGUUCGCGCUGCUCACUCCGUCGAAUCGUUCCCAAAGGAAGAAGCACUCCAGCGUAACAAGCUACACCCCGAGCAACCAAGCUGCUGUCAUGAUGGCUGGCAUGGGCAUAUCCCAGCAGAGAAGUCAGCACGCCUACGAUGAUGACGGCCGACACCGUGGCCGCGCUAUCGUCGGAGCAGUCACACCACCCCUCCGCUUUUCAACAGCAAACGCUGACCGCCGCAGGUCGAUUCAAGACUCUGAGUCGUCAAUGAGCAGCUGCUUCCGGACACCGAGCACCGAUUCUUUGUCACGAUUCGAAGAGCUCUUUUAACCCAUCGAUAAGGCUGCCGAGAACACCGUAUGGGGCAACCCAGAGGAGGAAGCAGCUGAAUUUGUCACCUGCUAGCACUUGCUUUUCAAGGAGUUGAACAGGUGCAGCUAUCCAAAACUGAAGUGCUGAAGGCACUAGUGCUGAGAAGGGGUUGUGUUGACAACAGCCAUGUUGUACACGCUAUGUCAUUUCAAUAAAGAGAAGUUACAUUUUA